GGAGGGAGACCGCGAGGGUUCGGCGGCUGCGGAGGCGCUGGCCAUUGGACUGCACCGCCGCGCUCCUGGCCUGGCCCUGCGCCCGGGCCCGCCCGUCCCGCUUCCCCAGCCAGGUGAACAAGCUGCCAGUCUGUGGUCAUCCGCAGAGGGACGCUUUACUGGACAGGUCCUACAAGAAGCCAGGGACUCCUGGAUUGAUGUCUGGAGCUGUGCAGUGCCACCAUAGCAGAAGGGGACAUACCAGCCUGGAGCAGGCACUAAGGGACACUGAGAGCUGGGGGCAGGGGGGGAAGGAUUUCCCCUGCUCUUGCCUGCUCAGGGGCAGCAGGAGAUGGGACCGCAGGGUGUUGGACUUCCUUUUUCUCCUCAUGCCUGGGAGCUUCCUUGUGGAGCCCAGCAUCCUCCUCCCAGAGACCUUGGAUUCAGAUGUUAUCAGAUGUCCACCCCCAGAACUCCCUUCCUCUCAUCUCCAGGGACUGUCGCUGGCCUACAGCCCAACCAAUGAGCUUAAAUCGAUCUCUGUGAUGAGCCCCAAUUACUGGUCUCAGGACCCUGCCUCAGCAUGGGUCUGGGGUUCCAGAAGAAAGAAGAUAGGACAGUCAUACACCAGCCUUUUCCCUCAGGUAUCCUCGGGACUUUUUCCUACUUUCC
rnacentral:lncRNA from 1 species